CACCAGCCCCUCGAGUGGUGGGGACUUUUAUUUGGCCUAAAGCGUCCGUAGCUGGCUGUUUCCGUCCCCCGUUAAAUCCAGCGUCUCAAGCGUUGGACUGCGGGUGAUACCAAACAGCUAGAGGGUGGGAGAGGUCAGCGGUAUUUCUGGGGUAGGGGCGAAAUCCUUUGAUCCCAGGAGGACCACCAGUGGCGAAGGCUGCUGACUAGAACACGCCUGACGGUCAGGGACGAAAGCUGGGGCAGCGAACCGGAUUAGAUACCCGGGUAGUCCCAGCUGUAAACGAUGCUCGCUAGGUGUUGGGUCGGCCAUGCGCCGCCCCAGUGCCGCAGGGAAGCCGUUAAGCGAGCCGCCUGGGGAGUACGGCCGCAAGGCUGAAACUCAAAUGAAUUGACGG
rnacentral:rRNA from 1 species